rnacentral:rRNA from 1 species
GAUGAACGCUAGCGGCAGGCCUAAUACAUGCAAGUCGAGGGAGAAUGUUGGAUUCGUCUGACAUGAAACCGGCGCACGGGUGCGUAACACGUAUGCAACCUACCUUUAACUGGGGUAUAGCUAAGAGAGAUCUGAAUUAAUCCCCCAUAAGACUACGACAUGGCCUAAUGAAGUAGUUAAAGCUCCGGCGGUUAAGGAUGGGCAUGCGGUACAUUAGCUAGUUGGUGAGGUAAUGGCUCACCAAGGCUACGAUGUAUAGGGGGUCUGAGAGGAUGAGCCCCCACACUGGUACUGAGACACGGACCAGGCUCCUACGGGAGGCAGCAGUAGGGAAUAUUGGUCAAUGGACGCAAGUCUGAACCAGCCAUGCCGCGUGAAGGAUGAAGGCCCUAUGGGUCGUAAACUUCUUUUAUUAGGGAAGAAAAAACGGGAUGCGUCCUGUACUGACGGUACUUAAUGAAUAAGGAUCGGCUAACUUCGUGCCAGCAGCCGCAGUAA